UUUUUGCAACAGGCAGUAGUCAGAAAAAAAGGAAUUGAUCUUGGACUUGAAGAAACAGCCCCAGAGGUGAGAGAGAUAGUCGUUAACCUGCACAGCCUCUUUCCAGCCUCUUCACAGAUAACAAGAGCUUUCAGAACAAGAAACUUGUAUAUUCUGUGCAGCUCAAAUAAAAUUAAGAAGCUGAACAUCAGUUGACAAAGAGUAAAAACUAAUUGGGAGUUGACAGGAAAAUAAACUCUCAUUUAUGAAAAUGUAGCUUAUUCCACAACACCAGAUUUCAAAAGAUACAGAAUCCUGUUGCUCCACAAUUCAAUUUGUCCUACAAAAAGCAAAUAUAGUAAAUAGAAGUUACCAACACUGAAGAGAAGAUUAACAAAUCUGAGCAUCCCAAUGGAGCAGACAACAUGUUCAGACCAUCCAAAGAUCCAAAUGGCAGGUUUGACCACUCCAACUGACACCAGGUACAAGCCAGGUAAUGUAGUAAUCAUGGGAUCCCACUUUAAAAAGAAAGAAAAUGAAGUAAAAGCAAGAGGUAAUAUGAACAAGACAGACACAAAUAUGUCAAGCCCAAGUCUCAUCUCCAGCAACAAUCAGAAAUUUUGAGAAGUUAUUCUAUGACAAGGUUAAGUAAGUCCUUGGCAGAACAGGAUUAGUUUUUCUUAUUUUUUGCCCCCGGACCAGCUUAGUGAUGGUUCAGGUAGCAGCAACCAAUAAACAACAACAACUUAAAAAUUAUUUCUAUUUUCCAAGAAGUGUUCUUUAAAAGCCUUUAUUUUGAUAAAAAAAGAAAAAAAAAACUACAAAUGCUCCAGUUUUGAAAAGCGUGGAAACAUUGUUUGGGACUCUAAGUUUAGGAAAACAUGUGGACCACAGGCUCCAUGAUGACAGCUAACAUAAACUGAGACAGAAAUUGUGCCAAACCCUCUGUAUUGUAACGUUACAAUAUGCCCUAUAGUAAAGAUUAUUGUCAUUUUGCAGAUGAGUAACCUGGAUUUCUGAAACUCAGAACAUCUCCAAGAUCACAAAACUAGUAAAUCACAGCACCAAGAUUUAAGAUCAGAUCUUUCUCUAAAACAGACUUUAUAUUUAUAGCCAGUACCCUAUAUUGUGUCACCAGAAAAGAAGGGGAUGUUUAUUUUGAUAUUUAUAUGUACAUACUUGCACAGUCAAAUAUAUAUUCAAAAAUGAUGUGACUUGACUCGUUGCCAGUUUAUCCAGUUAACAGAUAGUUCACUAAAAAUACCCAGGGAAGGAAUUUGUGAUUAUAAAUUGUCACUUUUUGGUAGCUGAAGAUCCCUCCAGUCCACCCUAUCCCACCCCAUCCCACCCCUAAAAUGCACAGUGAAGUGCUUGACAGGUGAGCUAAAGGGAAGUUUUCUGGUAUUUCCAAGGAGCACCCGAAUGUCUUUAAUCCUGAGACAAGGAAAGACAAAGUGGGAUCGAUAUUGUCAGCUGCCAAGAGGAGCGCUCAGUUCCCCAUUAAGUAUUCUCCCAGAUCACUCCUUCCUGGGGGACAGAUCUGCUGUUUAUUCAUUCAUUUAAUAAAUAUUUCACAGAUCUCAGAGACAGGAACAAAAGACUAUACCCAGUUUCUUUCAUGUUCUGAGGCUGGGGUGGGGUGGAACGGGACGAGUAAAGUCUAAGGAUGGGAGAAGGAGCUGGGGACGCUGGGACCUUUCAGGCCUCUCCUGGGGUGGGGACAGGUUGGGCACCCCACCUGGGAAAGGGAGAAAUGGCCCUCACAGUAGCGCUGCGCCUGAGGCAGGUGGAAGAUCUCGUCCAUGUAGGGCUCUCGCAGCGCCCGGCUGAAGGCGGAGAAGAGGAGGCAGGACACUAAAAAGGUACAGCUCAAGGCGGCCGAGAAAUAGUAACCCUCUAGCUGCGCCAUUCCUGCUCCGACAGCCACUGCCCAAGAACCCACUCCUGGAAAAUUCUGAGCCCGGAAACCCGAGCUGGAAACUUGGGAUCGAAAUGGGCGCGCUACACGGGACUAGCCAGACUGGGCCACAUACCGGAAGGCAAAGGAUGCUGGGAGAGCGCGGAUCCGGAAAGAUCGGGUCGCUGUUUCCCGGAGUGAUGGGUUUAGAUAACGGACCGGAUGAUUACCUUUUCCAUCACAUUACCCGGGGCGCACAGUGUCAAAACUUCCGGAAAGGGCGGGUCUCGGAUUUCGCCAGCGCGGGAGGUGAGUGUCUUGCUGCUUUG
rnacentral:antisense_RNA from 1 species